CCCUAUCGGACACAAACAUAACAGGCUGUGGUGCAGGACCAAGACGGGCUCGGUGUCUUCGGCAGGAUGGAGGAUGAAGAUUAAGGGGGGUUCAACCCUACGUGCCGGGUCAUGGCCAGCAGGUGCUAUUCAAGCAAAGGACUUCCAGACAUAGUCGUUUCCUGUCCUUCUAGCCACAUCCCAGAAUUCCCCCUGAUAGGCUGGAUCUGAAUGGACUGGCGUGCAGGAGCUGAGGACGAUGCCACCUCAAAUAGAAGCAUCCACAGCAGCCUCAAGGCAGGUCUCUGACCCUCGAGUGCAGUGGAAAUACGAAAGCCAACACAGCACAAGGACCGGGACAGAAUCAGGGUGAGAUGUGGAGCACUGGAUUGGUGGCAAGGGACCUAAAGCCUAUAUUUUUUCUUUUAAAAUAUAAGUACUAUACUUAU